UUAUUAAAGACAGCAACAGAAGCAGACCAGCUCUCAUUAAUUCACCUUCAGCACUACUGACACUGAAAAGGAGGAAUGUUAAUGUUGAGGGUUAAAAGUUGACAUUUUUACGCACAGAUUUUAGACGCACGGCAUUGGAAAAAGAGGACAGUUUUUUUUUUACUUGUUUAACAGAAUGUUGGAGUUUGUCCUGUGCUAUUCCGUGCUCUCUUUGUUUUCAUACAGAUGGAAAAGCUGUUGCCAGGACGAUAUGACUCGACAUGACCGUGCACUGGAGGCUGCUCCAAUCUUGCCUUUCUCAAACACACCUGAACUCUUCCUUGACCCGGGGACACAGUCUACAGGGAGCAGGAUGUAAAGCAAAAGGCCCUCGGCAGAGUUAUUUACACAAAUCAAGGCUCCUUAUCACUGUCAGCAAAGAGGAGUUAGAGGCGCACACCUCUGGACGAUGGCCAGUCGGCGGUCCAUAUCUUCCCACAAUGUUGACACUCGGAGCUCUUAACAGCAAGGCUUGGGUUACCGAUAUACUCAGCCGAAGAUAAGUCUUUCUGCUAGGUUUACACCGGCCAACAUCAAGGCUAAUGCGAAAUUCAACGCCUUCAGCCGAUUGGAACCAUCUCUCAUGGACGCUCACCAGCACCAGGGCCGAUUAGGACUGGAGAUUUAUGCCAACAUACUGUAGGUGGUUGUAAUAAAGCAGUUUGAAUUUC